UGCAAAUGAUGUUUUUCUCACGAUGGUCUUCCAAGCCCACGUGGCACUGACGACACUGCCUAAUGGCAACCACUGAUGCGGUUUU
ensembl:snoRNA small nucleolar RNA SNORD35